GAUUGAACGCUGGCGGUAUGCUUAACACAUGCAAGUCGAACGGAAACGAUACUAGCUUGCUAGUAGGCGUCGAGUGGCGGACGGGUGAGUAACGCGUAGGAAUCUGCCUGAUAGUGGGGGAUAGCCCGAAGAAAUUCGGAUUAAUACCGCAUAAUCUAUUCGUAGUAAAGUGGGGGACUUUCGAGCCUCACGCUAUCAGAUGAGCCUGCGUAAGAUUAGCUUGUUGGUAGGGUAAAAGCCUACCAAGGCGACGAUCUUUAGCUGGUCUGAGAGGAUGAUCAGCCACAUCGGGACUGAGACACGGCCCGAACUCCUACGGGAGGCAGCAGUGGGGAAUAUUGGACAAUGGGGGCAACCCUGAUCCAGCAAUACCGCGUGUGUGAAGAAGGCCUGAGGGUUGUAAAGCACUUUCAAUUGUGAAGAAAAGUUAGCGGUUAAUAACCGUUAGCCUUGACGUUAACUUUAGAAGAAGCACCGGCUAACUCCGUGCCAGCAGCCGCGGUAAUACGGAGGGUGCAAGCGUUAAUCGGAAUUACUGGGCGUAAAGCGUGCGUAGGCGGUUUAUUAAGUCAGAUGUGAAAGCCCCGGGCUUAACCUGGGAACUGCAUUUGAAACUGGUCAACUAGAGUAUGGUAGAGGAAAGUGGAAUUUCUGGUGUAGCGGUGAAAUGCGUAGAUAUCAGAAGGAACAUCAAUGGCGAAGGCAGCUUUCUGGACCAAUACUGACGCUGAGGUACGAAAGCGUGGGUAGCAAACAGGAUUAGAUACCCUGGUAGUCCACGCCGUAAACGAUGAUAACUAGCCGUUGGGGGGAUUUACCCUUUAGUGGCGAAGCUAACGCGUUAAGUUAUCCGCCUGGGGAGUACGGCCGCAAGGUUAAAACUCAAAGGAAUUGACGGGGACCCGCACAAGCGGUGGAGCAUGUGGUUUAAUUCGAUGCAACGCGAAGAACCUUACCUGGUCUUGACAUCCUGCGAACUUUCUAGAAAUAGAUUGGUGCCUUCGGGAACGCAGUGACAGGUGCUGCAUGGCUGUCGUCAGCUCGUGUCGUGAGAUGUUGGGUUAAGUCCCGUAACGAGCGCAACCCCUAUCCUUAUUUGCCAGCACAUCAUGGUGGGAACUAUAAGGAGACUGCCGGUGAUAAACCGGAGGAAGGCGGGGACGACGUCAAGUCAUCAUGGCCCUUACGACCAGGGCUACACACGUGCUACAAUGGGAAGGACAAAGAGCCGCGAAGCCGCGAGGUGUAGCUAAUCUCAUAAACCUUUUCGUAGUCCGGAUUGGAGUCUGCAACUCGACUCCAUGAAGUCGGAAUCGCUAGUAAUCGUAGAUCAGAAUGCUACGGUGAAUACGUUCCCGGGUCUUGUACACACCGCCC
rnacentral:rRNA from 1 species